CUGUCUUCUUUACAAGUCUUUCCACAGAGCAUGCCCCGAGAAUUGCCUCGACCCAUAUCCAGCUCUGUGCAUCUUCUGUCAGGAUUGGUGUGGACUCGACAUUUAAAUACUGCUCCUGGGGACUGAAUAGAGGUGCUGUAUCUAGAGUCUGCCUUGGGAGCUCCAACCAAGACCCACCGCGUGCUGUCGUGGUAAUGCUGCAGCACCGAGUACCCGAAAAAGGACCCGUUGGGGCCCUGGAAGACCACGGGACGCCCCACGUCCACGUUGUAGCAGCACGCCAGGGCCACCCACAGCAGCGCGCUCAGCACCCGCGCCCAACACCGCCGCCCCGCCGGCAUCCUGCGAACCCCCUGGCAGCCGCUCCAGCGCCGACUCCUCGACGGCACCGCUCAGAGCCGCGCUUUUGUGCCCGCUCUGUGCUGCCC
rnacentral:lncRNA from 1 species